GACAGAGGGUGCAACGUUGUUCGGAAUUACUGGCGUAAGCGAGUGUAGCGGUUUGGUAAGUCGGAUGUCGAAAGCCCGGCUCGAACCGGAAGUGGCACUCGAUACUGCCAAGCUAGAGUAUCGGAGAGGUGGUGGAAGUUCUCGGUGUAGAGGUGAAAUUCGAUAGAUAUCGAGAGGAACACCGGUGGCGGAAGGCGGCCAACUGGACGGAACUGACUGACGCUGAGACUCGAAAGCGUGGGGAGCAAACAGG
rnacentral:rRNA from 1 species